rnacentral:misc_RNA from 1 species
GUCAAAAACCAAAAACUAACAGAUUCAACCAAGAAAGAAAAAAAUAUAAAAAAAAAUCUGGUUAUUUUGGUGGUUAAGGCAUGAGAAGAAGAAAAUAAUAUCCAUAGAAGGGUGUUGCCGAUCCUAAGAAGUUCAAAAGCUGCACAAUGAAGGAAUUAAGAUGGCUAAAUGGCAAACAUAUCUACAAAUAAAAGCAUCACAAAUUCCACAUCUAGUAAAAUUAUGCAAGAACACAAUCAGCUUCCAGUCCCAGAAAUUCAAUAUCACUUCAGAUAAACCAUGCCUUUCCAAAUCAGUUCAUCUGUACCAUCCACAACAGAACCAUUUUCCAUCAAUGAAAUGGCCUUUGCUUACAUAUUUUUCU